GAUCCUGGCUCAGGAUGAACGCUAGCUACAGGCUUAACACAUGCAAGUCGAGGGGCAUCAGGAAGAAAGCUUGCUUUCUUUGCUGGCGACCGGCGCACGGGUGAGUAACACGUAUCCAACCUACCCUUUACUCGGGGAUAGCCUUUCGAAAGAAAGAUUAAUACCCAAUGGCAUAAUGAUUCCGCAUGGUUUCAUUAUUAAAGGAUUCCGGUAAAGGAUGGGAUGCGUUCCAUUAGGUUGUUGGUAAGNGGUAACGG
rnacentral:rRNA from 1 species